rnacentral:rRNA from 1 species
UUGGAGGGCAAGUCUGGUGCCAGCAGCCGCGGUAAUUCCAGCUCCAAUAGCGUAUAUUAAAGUUGUUGCAGUUAAAAAGCUCGUAGUUGAAUUUCGGGGUCAGUAGGUUGGUCGUGCCACUGGUAUGCACUGGCCUCACUGAUUCCUCCUUCUUGAAGAACUGUGAUGUCAUUUACUUGGUGUUGCAGGGAAACAGGACUGUUACUUUGAAAAAAUUAGAGUGUUUAAAGCAGGCUAACGCUUGAAUACAUUAGCAUGGAAUAAUGAAAUAGGACGUUUGAUCCUAUUUUGUUGGUUUCUAGGAUUGACGUAAUGAUUAAUAGGGAUAGUUGGGGGCAUUAGUAUUCAAUUGUCAGAGGUGAAAUUCUUGGAUUUAUUGAAGACUAACUACUGCGAAAGCAUUUGCCAAGGAUGUUUUCAUUAAUCAAGAACGAAAGUUAGGGGAUCGAAGACGAUCAGAUACCGUCGUAGUCUUAACCAUAAACUAUGCCGACUAGGGAUCGGAUGAUGUUAAUUUUCUAAUGACUCAUUCGGCGCCUUACGGGAAAC